CCAAGAUGGCCGAAUAGGAACAGCUCCGGUCUACAGCUCCCAGCCUGAGCGACGCAGAAGACGGUGAUUUCUGCAUUUCCAUCUGAGUGAAGGAAGAAUAAUCUGAGCUUGAAAUAAAGACUUAGAAUAUAGAUCACCGCCUGCAACCUUCUCACUCAAAAUUAGAAGACAUUACUGGAUAGUUUCAAGGGAAGUUAUUAACUUGAGAAAAACCCAGAAAUAAGCCAUGGAAGAUGUGCCUGCUUCCCCUUCACCUUCCACUACGAUUGAAAAUUUCCUGAGACCUCCUCAGAAGCCGAGCAGGUGCCAGCUUCAUGCUUCCUUUACAGCCUGUGGAAGCGUGAGCCAAUUAAACCUCUUCUCUUUAUAAAUUACCCAGUCUCAUGUAUUUCUUUAUAGCAAUAUAAAAACAGACUAAUACAG
rnacentral:lncRNA from 10 species